rnacentral:piRNA from 1 species
UCUGCCACUAGUUGGUUGCAUGGCUUUGA